CAGAGUUAGGGUCUCUCACGGCCCGACCUCCCAACCCUGUGUUUAUCAAACCACUUUUUGCCUCGGCGUGCCGGUCUUGAUCGACCGCCAGGGGACCUUUGCCGGUCCCCCGGAGCGCGCCCGCCGGUGGCCACAACCUAAAACUCUUGAAUAACCAUGUCAUGUCUAAGUCUUCUUGAUUAAAUCAAAAACA
rnacentral:misc_RNA from 1 species